rnacentral:rRNA from 1 species
CCUACGGGUGGCUGCAGGAGGGAAUAUUGGGUAAUGGGCGAAAGCCUGACCCAGCAACGCCGCGUGUGCGAUGAAGGCCUUCGGGUCGUAAAGCACUUUUUGACGGGAUGAGAAAGGACAGUACCGUCAGAAUAAGCCUCGGCUAACUACGUGCCAGCAGCCGCGGUAACACGUAGGAGGCGAGCGUUAUUCGGAUUUAUUGGGCGUAAAGCGCGUGUAGGCGGUCUGAUAAGUUGGAUGUGAAAUCUCACAGCUUAACUGAGAGAGGUCGUUCAAUACUGUCAGGCUAGAGGAUAGGAGAGGGAGGUGGAAUUCCGAGUGUAGUGGUGAAAUGCGUAGAUAUUCGGAGGAACACCAGUGGCGAAGGCGGCCUCCUGGCCUAUUUCUGACGCUCAGACGCGAAAGCUAGGGGAGCGAACGGGAUUAGAUACCCCAGUAGUC